AUUGAACGCUGGCGGCAGGCCUAACACAUGCAAGUCGAACGAGUGGCGGACGGGUUAGUAAUGUCUGGGAAACUGCCUGAUGGCGGGGGCUAACUACUGGAAACGGUAGCUAAUACCGCAUACCAUCGUAUGUGCCCAGAUGGGAUUGUCUAGUAGGUGGGGUAACGGCUCAUCGAGGAGACGAUCCAUAGCUGGUUGGAGAGGAUGACCAGCAACACUUGGACGGAGACACGGUCCCGAAUCGUACGGGAGGCAGCAGUGGAGAAUAUUGGACAAUGGGCGCAAGCCUGAUGCAGCCAUGCCGCGUGUAUGAAGAAGGCCUUCGGGUUGUAAAGUACUUUCGGCGGGGAGGCGUUACCCGCAGAAGAAGCACCGGCUAACUCCGUGCCAGCAGCCGCGGUAAUAC
rnacentral:rRNA from 1 species